rnacentral:rRNA from 1 species
UACAGAGGUGGCAAGCGUUGUUCGGAAUUACUGGGCGUAAAGGGCGCGUAGGCGGCGCGGUAAGUCACUUGUGGAAUCUCUGAGCUUAACUCAGAACGGCCAAGUGAUACUGCAGUGCUAGAGUGCAGAAGGGGCAAUCGGAAUUCUUGGUGUAGCGGUGAAAUGCGUAGAUAUCAAGAGGAACACCUGAGGUGAAGACGGGUUGCUGGGCUGACACUGACGCUGAGGCGCGAAAGCCAGGGGAGCAAACGGG